GUUUGUUAGCUAUCUAGAAGUUGUCCAGGGCUCCCUGAGGGAGGCCAGCACAAGAGCUCUGCCAUAAAAGGACAUUGGACAGAAGUGAAGAGUCCAAUCAGAAACUCUUUUUGAGAGACUGAACGCAAAGCAUUCAGAGAGUCAGCAGGCUGGAGAGGCCAAGACACACACACGAAGAAGGCAGGACACUCUUCUCCUCCUGCGGUUGGACUCCAGGCUCUAUGACCUUCAAACUCCAGGACUUACACCAGUUGCCCCUGGGCACUCAGGACUUCUGCUUCAGACUGACAGUUGCAGGACAGUGCAGCAUUUUAUUUUAAAGAUACCCCACAACGUAGGUGGCCAGUCCUGCUGCAGAUUGAGAGCUGUACUAGCCUGGCAUGCAGACAGCAGCUUUAGAAUCAGAUCUGCCUUCUGGCGGCUUCCCACCUAGGAGCCAUGGGACCUUUGUGAAGUCACCAAUUGUGCUGUGGAUGCUUCAUUUGUGAAGGAGAACAGGACUGCCUUGUGAAAUUACGGAUGGUGCUACUAAAACAUAUCAAUAAUUUGAAUUUCACUUUUGUGGAUGCUUUAAACAUCAUAGUCAUUAGAAGGUGGAUCUGGCUGAUUGUACUUUAAGUUUUCAGUUUGAGCUGGAGCUUUGUAUUAUAACAGGAGGGUACUGGACAAGAUGAGGAAACUGAGGUACAGAUGGGAAACUUGCUCAAGUUCACACAGCAAUUAAGUGAUCAAGUCCAAGAGCAAAACCAGGCAGGCUGGCUCCAGAGCUCACGAUAGUCCACCACUGCUUUCCACCAUCACUACGGAAUCAAGUCCAUGAGGAUACUCACCUUAUGUCAGUUGCCUAAGUUGGAAAUUAUAGAAUCUUCAAAUUGGAAGGGACGUUAUCAUCCAAGAUUUCAACUUUCUACUCACUGCAAAAUCCCUUCUGGAACUUCCCAGAUUGAUGAAUUUUCAUCAGCUCUGCUUGAGUACUCCCAGUGACUUGGAAAAAAAACACUGUAAUAUGGAUAUGAAAUAUAAACUGUUCAUGGAUAAAUUAUUGCAUAAUAAAAACAUGCCUAAUGGCUACACUCCCCUAAUAUGUUCAUUUGACUUCCCAGGAUUUAGCAACCAGGGCCUGGAAGGCAGACAAAGGUAACUGGCCCCAUGUGAUAAAAACAGGUUCCUUCUACGUGUGGGGCUUCUCCACUGCCAGGUUCCUGCAGCAAGUAGCAGUCACCAGCACCCAGUGGCCAGCAGCUUCCUCCACCACCUCCUGCUUGACACUGGAGUAAAUUCCAAAACAUGGCACCACCCUGUGAAUAGCUUCCUUGACACCCAAGAAGAUUUCUGUGCCUGAGUCAUU
rnacentral:lncRNA from 1 species